rnacentral:rRNA from 1 species
GGUCAAGCAAACAAGCGCACAUGGUGGAUGCCUUGGCGAUAAGAGGCGAUGAAGGACGUGGUAGUCUGCGAUAAGCCCCGGUAAGUUGACAAACUAACUCUGACCCGGGGAUUUCCGAAUGGGGAAACCCACCCGCUUUGCGCGGGUAUCGCGCGCUGAAUACAUAGGCGCGCGAGGCGAACCCGGGGAACUGAAACAUCUAAGUACCCGGAGGAACAGAAAUCAACCGAGAUUCCCCAAGUAGCGGCGAGCGAACGGGGACCAGCCUGCAUUCGAUAGCGGGAAAGUUAGUGGAACGGUCUGGAAAGUCCGGCCACAGCGGGUGACAGCCCCGUACACGAAAACUUUUCCGUGAUACUGAGCAUGCGACAAGUAGGGCGGAGCACGUGAAACUCUGUCUGAACAUGGGGGGACCAUCCUCCAAGGCUAAAUACUACUUAUCGACCGAUAGUGAACCAGUACCGUGAGGGAAAGGCGAAAAGAACCCCUGUUAGGGGAGUGAAACAGAACCUGAAACCGUGUGUGUACAAGCAGUGGGAGCCUGAUUCCCGGAUUCGUCCGGGGAACGGGCGACUGCGUACCUUUUGUAUAAUGGGUCAGCGACUUAAUUUCAGUAGCAAGGUUAACCUGUCAUGGGGGAGCCGCAGCGAAAGCGAGUCUUAACAGGGCGAUUAGUCUUCGGACGCGAGUUGCUGGGAUUAGACCCGAAACCGGGCGAUCUAGCCAUGGCCAGGUUGAAGGUCGGGUAAUACCGACUGGAGGACCGAACCAACCUAUGUUGAAAAAUGGGUGGAUGAGCUGUGGCUCGGAGUGAAAGGCUAAACAAGCCCGGAGAUAGCUGGUUCUCCUCGAAAACUAUUUAGGUAGUGCCUCGUGUCUCACCGUCGGGGGUAGAGCACUGUCAUGGCUAGGGCUGCAUCUCGCGGUACCAACCCAUAGCAAACUCCGAAUACCGACGAGUGCAAUCACGGGAGACAGACGGCGGGAGAUAAGUUUCGUCGUCGAAAGGGAAACAGCCCAGACCGCCGAUUAAGGUCCCCAAACACAUCUCAGUGGGAAACGAUGUGGGAAGGCUCAGACAGCCAGGAGGUUGGCUUAGAAGCAGCCAUCCUUUAAAGAAAGCGUAAUAGCUCACUGGUCGAGUCGGCCUGCGCGGAAGAUAUACCGGGGCUCAAGAUGUGUACCGAAAUCGCGGGCGCGCGCAUUCUUCGGAAUGCGCGCGCGGUAGAGGAGCGUUCCGUACGUCGUUGAAGGUGUGCCGUGAGGCAUGCUGGAGGCAUCGGAAGUGAGAAUGCUGACAUGAGUAGCGAUAAUGCGGGUGAGAGGCCCGCACGCCGAAAGCCCAAGGUUUCCUGCGCAACGCUAAUCGGCGCAGGGUGAGUCGACCCCUAAGGCGAGGCCGAAAGGCGUAGUCGAUGGGAAUCAGGUUAAUAUUCCUGAACCGGCCAUAACUGCGACGGGGUGACGGAGAAGGCUAGGUCGGCCGGGUGUUGGAUGUCCCGGUUUAAGCGCGUAGGUUGGAUGCCCAGGCAAAUCCGGGCGUCCGUUAAGACUGAGGCGUGAUGACGAGCGCUUUAAUUAGCGCGAAGCGAUUGAUGCCAUGCUUCCAGGAAAAACCCCUAAGCUUCAGGUUAUGUUCGAUCGUACCCCAAACCGACACAGGUGGGCGGGGAGAGAAUCCCAAGGCGCUUGAGAGA